UACGAAGGGGGCUAGCGUUGCUCGGAAUCACUGGGCGUAAAGCGCACGUAGGCGGGUUGCUAAGUCAGGGGUGAAAUCCUGGAGCUCAACUCCAGAACUGCCUUUGAUACUGGCGGCCUUGAGUCCGGGAGAGGUGAGUGGAACUGCGAGUGUAGAGGUGAAAUUCGUAGAUAUUCGCAAGAACACCAGUGGCGAAGGCGGCUCACUGGCCCGGUACUGACGCUGACGGUGCGAAAGCGUGGGGAGCAAAGCAGG
rnacentral:rRNA from 1 species